rnacentral:lncRNA from 1 species
GAACAAUCUGCCUCACAAAUUCCACAGUCCCUCCCACCUCCACAGUUAAUGGUUUCGAGAUCUCAGCUGAUGAACUUGGUAUAAACAGUUGGUUUUUAUCAGCAGAACUGCUGAAAGUGGAAAGUGGUGGGAGCUGGGUAGGGGUAGCUUGGGGAGAGGAGAACAACAGCUGAGGGAAUGCAGAAGAAACAGCAGAAUUAAGCUUUCAUCCUUGCUUUGGUAAACUUGGCUGAAGCAACACCUGCUUUGUAAAGGCCAAGAGGUUCUUGUGGCGCUGCAUGAAGUGGGGGAAAGGAUAUUAGAAUGCUGCUAGGGUCCAUGAGACAAAGUCGUCAUCUUCAAGGUGAUGAUGAUAUGGAUUUCUGAGGAUGCCAGGAGCUGUACAGCAAGGUCAUCAAAGCAAUCGCAAUGUUUAUGGCUUCUCAGUUCUCCAGGAAUAUAUGGAGGUAUGCACACACAGUGCUAUUACCUUGGGGAAACUAUUAGAGGUUGCUUCACACUAUGAUAUGGACUUUUAUCCAUCAAGAGUAAUUACCUCUAUCUUGAUGAGAAAUGAGAAGAUGAUAGUGAGAAUUACUGCAUCACAUCAGAUGCCUCUGAAAAUCUCCUAG